rnacentral:rRNA from 1 species
UAACUGAAGAGUUUGAUCAUGGCUCAGAUUGAACGCUGGCGGCAGGCUUAACACAUGCAAGUCGAGCGGGGUGAUGUGCUUCGGUACUGAUCCUAGCGGCGGACGGGUG